UUUUGCCACAGAAAUCAUCUCAGAAAUGGUUCAUAGUUUCAGUUGUCCUGAGAAAAGAGUGGCUAUGAAAUAAAACAGUUUCAUUUCCUAUAGCUUAUUCACUGCUCUUCCACUCCAGGAUCCUUGCCUCCUUCCAAGCUGCCCCUCACUCUGAAGUGCUGACCUCCAUCCAGUGACUGCUCUGCAGAAGAUGAGUCUGCCUCAACUCAGGAGAAGGCACAAGGUCGACAACCACUAAGAUGGUUUUUGCUUCCCUGAAGAGCUGAGCAUCUAAAGAAUGUGAUAGGCAGUGUCAACGUGCUUUCAGAUCUUUACACUAUACAUAUUUUGGUACCCACAUGCUAAAAAGUCAAAUAUACUUUGAUUUUCAAUGCUUAAGGGAUUUACUCACUCAAAAAUUAAAUUAAAAUAGCUCAUCUCCCAGAAAAACAGAACUUGUUUAGAAUAGGACGAAAUAGGAAAACCUACUUUGGCCUAAGAUUGAACCAUCCAGAAAUGUAUACUACAAUGACUUGAUAUACACAAGACUGUUGAGAUCAUUCUGACUCACGGCAAAAAACCAUUUUGUAGGUAUUCCAUUAGAAAUCCACUUUCAGGACAUAUCACAUUCAAAAGCUUGAUCAACCUUAUAUCUUGAUCCUCAGAUUAUAAACCGUUGCUGGUAUAAAUAAAAUAUACGAAACCCAUUUUUCAUCUGUUCACUGUAGCCUACAUGAUAUUUUAUGAAAUUAGUAUCAAUUACACAGGCUGAUGUUAAAAUAUUAACAACAAUAUUAAGAAUCUAUCAUAUAUAUUUAGGUAUAUAUAAAUGUUAACAAAAUAUUAACCAAA
rnacentral:lncRNA from 10 species